rnacentral:tRNA from 1 species
AUUUAUAUAGUUUAUUUAAAACAUUACAUUUUCAUUGUAAAAAUAAAAUAAAUAAAACUUUUUAUAAAUA